rnacentral:rRNA from 1 species
CCCUUAGAUGUUCUGGGCUGCACGCGCGCUACACUGACGAAGUCAGCGAGCAUGUCCUACGCCGACAGGUGCGGGGAAUCUUGUCAAACUUCGUCGUGAUGGGGAUUGAUUUUUGAAAUUCUUGAUCAUAAACGAGGAAUUCCUAGUAAGCGCAAGUCAGCAGCUUGCGUUGAUUACGUCCCUGCCCUUUGUACACACCGCCCGUCGCUACUACCGAUUGAAUGGUUUAGUGAGAUCUUCGGAUUGGCGCCACUGCAGCUCAGCAAUGGGCUUGGUGGAUGCCGAAAAGUUGAUCAAACUUGAUCAUUUAGAGGAAGUAAAAGUCGUAACA